rnacentral:rRNA from 1 species
UGCAGUCGACGAUGACCACCUUCGGGUGGGGAUUAGUGGCGAACGGGUGAGUAACACGUGGGCAAUCUGCCCUGCACUCUGGGACAAGCCCUGGAAACGGGGUCUAAUACCGGAUACUGAUCCCCGCAGGCAUCUGCGGGGUUCGAAAGCUCCGGCGGUGCAGGAUGAGCCCGCGGCCUAUCAGCUUGUUGGUGAGGUAACGGCUCACCAAGGCGACGACGGGUAGCCGGCCUGAGAGGGCGACCGGCCACACUGGGACUGAGACACGGCCCAGACUCCUACGGGAGGCAGCAGUGGGGAAUAUUGCACAAUGGGCGAAAGCCUGAUGCAGCGACGCCGCGUGAGGGAUGACGGCCUUCGGGUUGUAAACCUCUUUCAGCAGGGAAGAAGCGAAAGUGACGGUACCUGCAGAAGAAGCGCCGGCUAACUACGUGCCAGCAGCCGCGGUAAUACGUAGGGCGCGAGCGUUGUCCGGAAUUAUUGGGCGUAAAGAGCUCGUAGGCGGCUUGUCGCGUCGGUUGUGAAAGCCCGGGGCUUAACCCCGGGUCUGCAGUCGAUACGGGCAGGCUAGAGUUCGGUAGGGGAGAUCGGA